UAUCAAUAGAUGAGGAAAAAGCAUUUGAUAAGGUACAGCACCCAUUUAUGAUAAAAACACUCAGCAAAGUGGGAAUAGAGGGAGCAUUCCUCAACAUAAUAAAGGCCAUAUAUGAGACCUACAGCCCACAUCAUACUCAAUGCACAAAAACUUAGAGCAUUCCUAUUAAGAUCAGGAACAAGACAAGGAUGCUUGCUUUCACCACUCCUAUUCUACAUAGUACUGCAAGUCCUAGCUACAGAAAUUGGACAAGAAAAAGAAAUAAAAGUCAUCCAAAUUGGAAAGGAGGAAAAAGGAGGAAGUAAAACUGUCAUUGUUUGCAGAUGACAUGAUAGUGUAUAUAGAAAGUCCUAUAGACUCCAC